UCACUGGUCGAGUCGGCCUGCGCGGAAGAUGUAACGGGGCUAAACCAUGCACCGAAGCUGCGGCAGCGACGCUUAUGCGUUGUUGGGUAGGGGAGCGUUCUGUAAGCCUGUGAAGGUGUACUGUGAGGUAUGCUGGAGGUAUCAGAAGUGCGAAUGCUGACAUAAGUAACGAUAAAGCGGGUGAAAAGCCCGCUCGCCGGAAGACCAAGGGUUCCUGUCCAACGUUAAUCGGGGCAGGGUGAGUCGACCCCUAAGGCGAGGCCGAAAGGCGUAGUCGAUGGGAAACAGGUUAAUAUUCCUGUACUUGGUGUUACUGCGAAGGGGGGACGGAGAAGGCUAUGUUGGCCGGGCGACGGUUGUCCCGGUUUAAGCGUGUAGGCUGGUUUUCCAGGCAAAUCCGGAAAACUAAGGCUGAGGCGUGAUGACGAGGCACUACGGUGCUGAAGCAACAAAUGCCCUGCUUCCAGGAAAAGCCUCUAAGCAUCAGGUAACAUCAAAUCGUACCCCAAACCGACAC
rnacentral:rRNA from 1 species